AGAGUUUGAUCAUGGCUCAGGACGAACGCUGGCGGCGUGCUUAACACAUGCAAGUCGCGCGGUUCUCGAAGUUCGGGGUUGGGAGUUCGAACCUCGAACCUCGAACCUCGAACUUCGAACCUCGAACUUCGAGAAUAGCGGCGGACGGGUGAGUAACACGUGGAUAACCUACCCAUUAGACCAGGAUAACACCGGGAAACUGGUGCUAAUACCGGAUAAGCUCUUUAGAGUAAAAGCCUUAAAGAGGAAAGGGGAAACUCACUAAUGGAUGGGUCCGCGUCCUAUUAGCUAGUUGGUAGGGUAACGGCCUACCAAGGCGACGAUGGGUAGCCGGCCUGAGAGGGUGACCGGCCACACUGGGACUGAGACACGGCCCAGACUCCUACGGGAGGCAGCAGUGGGGAAUAUUCCGCAAUGGGGGAAACCCUGACGGAGCAAUGCCGCGUGAGUGAAGAAGGCCUUUGGGUCGUAAAACUCUGUCUUGAGGGACGAAAAAAAUGACGGUACCUCAAAAGAAAGCCCCGGCUAACUACGUGCCAGCAGCCGCGGUAAAACGUAGGGGGCGAGCGUUGUCCGGAAUUACUGGGCGUAAAGGGCGUGUAGGCGGCCUGUGUAGUCAAGUGGUGAAAACCCGGGGCUUAACUUCGGGAUGGCCCUUGAAACCAACAGGCUUGAGGACAGGAGAGGGGAGUGGAAUUUCCGGUGUAGCGGUGAAAUGCGUAGAUACCGGAAGGAACACCAGUGGCGAA
rnacentral:rRNA from 1 species